rnacentral:rRNA from 1 species
GACGAACGCUGGCGGCGUGCUUAACACAUGCAAGUCGAACGGUGAUGGGUGCUUGCACCUUGAUCAGUGGCGAACCGGUGAGUAACACGUGAGCAACCUGCCCCCGACUCUGGGAUAACCCCGGGAAACCGGAGCUAAUACCGGAUAUGAGGCGCCUACGCAUCUGGGCGUCUGGAAAGAAUUCCGGUCGGGGAUGGGCUCGCGGCCUAUCAGCUUGUUGGUGGGGUAAUGGCCUACCAAGGCGACGACGGGUAGCCGGCCUGAGAGGGCGACCGGCCACACUGGGACUGAGACACGGCCCAGACUCCUACGGGAGGCAGCAGUGGGGAAUAUUGCACAAUGGGCGCAAGCCUGAUGCAGCGACGCCGCGUGAGGGAUGAAGGCCUUCGGGUUGUAAACCUCUUUCAGCAGGGAAGAAGCGCAAGUGACGGUACCUGCAGAAGAAGCGCCGGCUAACUACGUGCCAGCAGCCGCGGUAACAC